ACAUGCAUAUAACAUAGUGUUAAUGAAUCAGAUCCCAUUAGAACUCCACAAUUAAGUGCACUCAGGAUAGAGUAGUACUGGGAUGGGUGACCACUCGGGAAGUCCUAGUGUUUUACAUGCC
rnacentral:rRNA from 1 species